rnacentral:lncRNA from 1 species
CAUUCAAGUGUUAAGCCAGAUAACGUCAUAAAUGUGAUGCGUAUCGAUAGUGAAUCCAGUCGGGGACUAGAAUGAGAAUCGGUCAUCGAACAAUACCAUAAUUAAACAACAAACUAUGCUUCUUUACUUGGACUACCAUUCGAAACCGGCGCCUUUUCAAGAAGACCGGCAACCAUUAAACUACCCCCGUGACAUUCGAGGUGGAGUAUGAUGGUUCCAUCGAGUAGGUAGUGCCUAGACGGAGCUCCACCCAGCACUUAGUUUACGUCGCGAUUGCGGCCCCGGGUACGGCCGUUUCCAGGGUACAGUCACGCCCCUGCCAUGCGAGUACUGUACUCCCAUUCGCUGGGCCAUAUCUCAUCUGGUCCAUCGCAUUAGCCUAAUCUGCCAGCAACGUGAACGAAGAAAAAAAAAAUACGGCCAUCGACGUUGCCACUGACGAGAGAAAUCGCGGCGAGGUGCUGCCACCUCCGUAGUAGGAUCGAAAAGUUGACCGGUUAUUGAAUCGAUUUUUUCCCACAAGCAACGUCGUCCCGCUCUCAUUUUGGCCAGUAGUUCGAUUUAAUUGUUCGUGUAUUGUUAAUAUUUAUUACGUCAGCUUGUAAUUUGCUACCAUGUCUGUUCGCGUCGGCCAGAAACGAGAAUUUCUUCUGUUUGAUCGCUUGGUUCGCUGUAAGGAUGAUCGGAAUGAUGGUUUGUUUCUAUCGUCGGAUGCAGUUCGCCUAGUUCAUGAUGUCCAAUUGCUCGAAUGAUGUCGCAAAUUCUAGACAAGUGCUGUGGAACUAAUGGUAACGCGCACCUCAGACUAGCGGAUGUCGGCGUUCUGAAUACUUCAGUUUGUUCCCUGAUCACCGAGCUAGAUCGCCGACUUAAGAUCGCUCGAGGCGGUCAGAGAU